rnacentral:rRNA from 1 species
GACGAACGCUGGCGGCGUGCUUAACACAUGCAAGUCGAACGGUGAUCUCCAGCUUGCUGGGGUGAUCAGUGGCGAACGGGUGAGUAACACGUGAGUAACCUGCCCUCGUCUUCGGGAUAACUACUGGAAACGGUGGCUAAUACCGAAUAUUCACUUCCUGUCGCAUGGUGGGUGGUGGAAAGUUUUUCGGACGAGGAUGGGCUCGCGGCCUAUCAGCUUGUUGGUGGGGUGAUGGCCUACCAAGGCGACGACGGGUAGCCGGCCUGAGAGGGUGACCGGCCACACUGGGACUGAGAUACGGCCCAGACUCCUACGGGAGGCAGCAGUGGGGAAUAUUGCACAAUGGGCGAAAGCCUGAUGCAGCGACGCCGCGUGAGGGAUGACGGCCUUCGGGUUGUAAACCUCUUUCAGCAGGGAAGAAGCGAAAGUGACGGUACCUGCAGAAGAAGCGCCGGCUAACUACGUGCCAGCAGCCGCGGUAAUACGUAGGGCGCAAGCGUUGUCCGGAAUUAUUGGGCGUAAAGAGCUCGUAGGCGGUUAGUCGCGUCUGCUGUGAAAACUCGAGGCUCAACCUCGGGCUUGCAGUGGGUACGGGCUGACUAGAGUGCGGUAGGGGUGACUGGAAUUCCUGGUGUAGCGGUGGAAUGCGCGGAUAUCAGGAGGAACACCGAUGGCGAAGGCAGGUCACUGGGCCGCAACUGACGCUGAGGAGCGAAAGCAUGGGGAGCGAACGGGAUUAGAUACCCUGGUAGUCCAUGCCGUAAACGUUGGGCACUAGGUGUGGGGUCCAUUCCACGGAUUCCGUGCCGCAGCAAACGCAUUAAGUGCCCCGCCUGGGGAGUACGGCCGCAAGGCUAA